rnacentral:rRNA from 1 species
CACACUAUCAUUAACUGAAUCCAUAGGUUAAUGAGGCGAACCGGGGGAACUGAAACAUCUAAGUACCCCGAGGAAAAGAAAUCAACCGAGAUUCCCCCAGUAGCGGCGAGCGAACGGGGAGCAGCCCAGAGCCUGAAUCAGUGUGUGUGUUAGUGGAAGCGUCUGGAAAGGCGCGCGAUACAGGGUGACAGCCCCGUACACAAAAAUGCACAUGCUGUGAGCUCGAUGAGUAGGGCGGGACACGUGGUAUCCUGUCUGAAUAUGGGGGGACCAUCCUCCAAGGCUAAAUACUCCUGACUGACCGAUAGUGAACCAGUACCGUGAGGGAAAGGCGAAAAGAACCCCGGCGAGGGGAGUGAAAAAGAACCUGAAACCGUGUACGUACAAGCAGUGGGAGCACGCUUAGGCGUGUGACUGCGUACCUUUUGUAUAAUGGGUCAGCGACUUAUAUUCUGUAGCAAGGUUAACCGAAUAGGGGAGCCGAAGGGAAACCGAGUCUUAACUGGGCGUUAAGUUGCAGGGUAUAGACCCGAAACCCGGUGAUCUAGCCAUGGGCAGGUUGAAGGUUGGGUAACACUAACUGGAGGACCGAACCGACUAAUGUUGAAAAAUUAGCGGAUGACUUGUGGCUGGGGGUGAAAGGCCAAUCAAACCGGGAGAUAGCUGGUUCUCCCCGAAAGCUAUUUAGGUAGCGCCUCGUGAAUUCAUCUCCGGGGGUAGAGCACUGUUUCGGCAAGGGGGUCAUCCCGACUUACCAACCCGAUGCAAACUGCGAAUACCGGAGAAUGUUAUCACGGGAGACACACGGCGGGUGCUAACGUCCGUCGUGAAGAGGGAAACAACCCAGACCGCCAGCUAAGGUCCCAAAGUCAUGGUUAAGUGGGAAACGAUGUGGGAAGGCCCAGACAGCCAGGAUGUUGGCUUAGAAGCAGCCAUCAUUUAAAGAAAGCGUAAUAGCUCACUGGUCGAGUCGGCCUGCGCGGAAGAUGUAACGGGGCUAAACCAUGCACCGAAGCUGCGGCAGCGACGCU